GAUGGCCACGAUAGCAAAAAUAUUUUGGUUCGCGCGAUGCUCAUCGGACGGCCCGAGUCGCUGCUCCGUUCCCCGCACCUCACCUCCUCGCUACAUGCACAUUGUGUACAGGCUGGAACCUUCUCGUUCCCUGCCGUCCCUCGAGCUUCCCCGGGCUUCUUAAAAAACCUCCCUUCCCUAAACAUCUUGCCGGGCCGAAACACAUACACGCCUCCACCGCUCGACCUUGCUGCUAGUUGAUGGCAAAUCAAAGGCAGCGGCUUCCGUGGUGCUGCCGGUGGCGCCGGCCGGGCGAUUCUGGGGCUCCCGACGGCGGCCUCUAUCGCGGUUAUCGGGAUCCUACUUCACGGUCGGGCCUCUACCCAUCUUCCGCGGCGACCCCGGCGAGUGCCCCGACGCCCAUCUCGCGCGCUUCGACCACGUCUGCCGCGCCAACAUCUUCACGGCCGUGACACCGGCGGCCGCCGCCCGCAUCUUCACGGCGUCGCUUGACGGCGAUGCCACGUUGUGGUACGACCUCACAACCUCGAUCGACGAGGGUUCGCCGCCCUCGCCAUGGCACGCCGUCCGGGCUUCCUUCCUCGACUUCUACCGCCCGCCGGACGCCGCCAAACCCGUGUGUGCGGACCUCAUGUCGCUGAGGCAGGGGCCCGGUGAGGUCGUCAACCGGUACCACCUCCGCAUUCAGAGGACCCUGCCGACAUCCCCGACGACGCGUUCCUGAAGGCUGCCUUCGUCGACGGCCUCGGCGCCGAGUUCUAGGACUGGUGGUGCCGCAGCGUCCUCCUCCUCCUCCAUGAACGCUUCCGCCGGCGCUUCGUCCUCCAUUUUCGGAGCAUUCGCGAGUGAGCCCACGCCGCAUUUCGGGUCAUCUCCGCCAGGUCUGGCCGCGCCCUAGUCAUUGCUCCCGAGUUCCUCUUCUCCAUCUUGGGUCGUCUUCGCUAGGUUUGGCCGCUGGAACUGGAGCAGCCGUCCCGCGAGCUUAGAGGACCCAGUGCCUCCGUCCUAACACCGGCGAGCUGAUUCACUGGCUCCUCAUCACCGGCUCCUCAGCCCGCAUAAGCAAGCGUCCACCAGCAUCAGCCUCCCCUCACCGAGCUGCAUCUGCCCGGCUGCUCCUCGUUGCCAUCCCGUCGACGGACCACCGCUUCCCACGGAGCAUAACCAGAACAGACCGCCGCCGCCCCCUUCUCCGGCCAAAUCUGGCCACCAUGGUGAGUCCCUGCCAGUGGUAAGCCAUGAAACGGAACCCCUUCCCUCUCCUAUUUCGUUUCCCCCACUUUCCCCCCUUUCCCGUGACCAAGCCAGUACCACCGUCGGCCAUGGCAAAGAUCUUGAAGUUCUUGCUGUUAGCCUCAAGAAAAAGGAGGCAAUUACAUUCGUAUUUGUUGUGUCUUGGCAUAUCUACAUAUAACCCCCCUCCAAAGUUUAGUUUCCUGCAGUUCGGCCCAAGCCUACCCCUUCGCUAGUUCUUACACGUUCCUCUGCAGCAUUAGAGAUCACCUCUAACUAGGUGUCUAGGUUAGCUAUAAUUCAAAACAUCUGUUCGGUUAAUGAAACUAACAGGAUUGCAAAACACUUGCUUCUAAUUUGUUUUUCUUAUUUUGCAUACUUCUUUCCAAAUCCUUGUGCGAAUGUCAUGAUGAAUCUCAUCUGAAGAAUGCUUAGCUUCAAGCGAUGAUUCACGCAUGUAUUUGCAUCAAAGACAAUAAUAGUAACCACAGUCAUCAUGAUACAAAAUUUCGGAAACUGAUGAAUACAAUCAAUUCGAGCUCUGUACCUAAUCCCCAUCGACCAGUUGAUGGCUAUAGCAUAAC